GGCGGCGUGCCUAAUACAUGCAAGUCGAGCGAGCUUGCCUAGAUGAUUUUAGUGCUUGCACUAAAUGAAACUAGAUACAAGCGAGCGGCGGACGGGUGAGUAACACGUGGGUAACCUGCCCAAGAGACUGGGAUAACACCUGGAAACAGAUGCUAAUACCGGAUAACAACACUAGACGCAUGUCUAGAGUUUGAAAGAUGGUUCUGCUAUCACUCUUGGAUGGACCUGCGGUGCAUUAGCUAGUUGGUAAGGUAACGGCUUACCAAGGCAAUGAUGCAUAGCCGAGUUGAGAGACUGAUCGGCCACAUUGGGACUGAGACACGGCCCAAACUCCUACGGGAGGCAGCAGUAGGGAAUCUUCCACAAUGGACGAAAGUCUGAUGGAGCAACGCCGCGUGAGUGAAGAAGGGUUUCGGCUCGUAAAGCUCUGUUGGUAGUGAAGAAAGAUAGAGGUAGUAACUGGC
rnacentral:rRNA from 1 species